rnacentral:rRNA from 1 species
CAGCCGCCGCGGUAAUACGUAGGUGGCAAGCGUUGUCCGGAAUUAUUGGGCGUAAAGGGCUCGCAGGCGGUUUCUUAAGUCUGAUGUGAAAGCCCCCGGCUCAACCGGGGAGGGUCAUUGGAAACUGGGAAACUUGAGUGCAGAUGAGGAGAGUGGAAUACCACGUGUAGCGGUGAAAUGCGUAGAGAUGUGGAGGAACACCAGUGGCGAAGGCGACUCUCUGGUCUGUAACUGACGCUGAGGCGCGAAAGCGUGGGGAGCAAACAGGAUUAGAGACCCCUGUAGUCCCUGUCUCUUAUAC